GUGGUGAUAGGUCCAACUUAGUUCACUUCUGAGGUGAUGCUAGGAAGAGGAGACCUUGCUUGAACCUUUAUGUCGAUGUCCAAUUGAAGUUGAAACAGUAUAUAAUGAAAAAAUCCACUUGCUGAAGAGUGUCCGAUGGGGAUCCUUUGAUGUCUAAGUCAAACAUACUCUCAAAAAAUAGUGAAAGUGUUAUUAGAGCGGCAGAGUGAUGGAACGACAUAUGAAGGUAAGAGUGCAUAUACCUG
rnacentral:lncRNA from 1 species